rnacentral:rRNA from 1 species
AGUGUUCAAUUCUGAACUGUGGUAGGUGAGUAAUGUUCCCUACUAGAAAGGAGAGGGCAAGGCUGGUGCCAGCCGCCGCGGUAAAACCAGCUCUUCAAGUGGUCGGGAUAAUUAUUGGGCUUAAAGUGUCCGUAGCCGGUUUAGUAAGUUCCUGGUAAAAUCGGGUAGCUUAACUAUCUGUAUGCUAGGAAUACUGCUAUACUAGAGGGCGGGAGAGGUCUGAGGUACUACAGGGGUAGGGGUGAAAUCUUAUAAUCCUUGUAGGACCACCAGUGGCGAAGGCGUCAGACUGGAACGCGCCUGACGGUGAGGGACGAAAGCCAGGGGAGCGAACCGGAUUAGAUACCCGGGUAGUCCUGGCCGUAAACGAUGCAUACUAGGUGAUGGUACGGCCAUGAGCCGUAUCAGUGCCGUAGGGAAACCGUUAAGUGUGCCGCCUGGGAAGUACGGUCGCAAGGCUAAAACUUAAAGGAAUUGGCG